rnacentral:lncRNA from 1 species
CUCCCUCUCUCAUCUUCCUCACGCCCUCGCUCCCCAGUUCUCUCGACACCGCGGUGCCCCCUCCCCUCCCAACGCGGCUUCCUCUCCCUCGUACUCCGGUCACCCUUUCCCUCUCACUCCGACCACCCUCUCCCUCUCCACUCUUGUUGCCCUCCCUCUCCCUCUCCACAUCCCGAUGGCGAGCGCAAGGCGCGGAGCGGCAGUGUGACCAGCCUCGAGAUUGGACGUGGAGCAGCAACGACGGGGUCAUGAGGUACAUCAUCAGCCCCUCCUGUUCGCCCUGUCUCCCUCUUUUCUCCUCUCAUCCUCACUCGUCCCUCUCUCUUCGUAGAUCCAUAGCCAACUGUCCUCCAACCAUGGAUUCGAUUUGGUGGUGGAUCCGGUGUCUCGGAUCAUGGAUCUGACAUUAGGGCUCGUAGAUCUAGGGCUACGGGUGGCGGCCUCCCCUCCCUCCCCAGGACGCUCCUCUCUUCCUGCGCAUGUGACAGCGCACGGCGGUGGACCUAGGCCUACGGUUUGCAGAAUGGGUGCGGCAAAUCCAGGCUCACUAACGGGUUUGCUGGUGGGUUUAGAGAUUUUUUUUUUGUUUUUUACCGAUUAACCAAGACGAACAUUCUAAAAUGCCCAAUUAAGAGUGGCGGGCACAUGCAACCGCCGCAGUUAAUAGUGGUAGUAGUGCAUUACGUAUUUUGUAAAGAAGAAAAUACUAACAAAGGUGUGAACACAUCAGACCUGACACGCGGCCACAAAUAUAUAAAUACACUCGUCGUUAGUAGAUACCCAACUAAACAAAUCGCCCUGCAUCUGCAUCUGAGACGAGACGACGAUGGUGACACGCGGGGACGACGACGACGCGUGACGGCGUGGCCUCAUCAUUCUCAGCCAAAUAAAGCUCCGCCGUUGCGAUCGAUCCAUCGUACGUACUACGUACUUGCUCCAAUAAGAAAAUGGGGAAAACAAUCACAAUUAAGCAAGCAAAUGGAACUUGAUUGACUGACUAACCCUGUCUGGCUCUCUCGAGUCAAGGACGCGGCUGUACGUGUGGUUAUUAGUUCAGUUGGGCGCUGGAUCUGAUGGUGACCGGAUGUAUAUAUAUAAAUAUAUACAUAAUAUAAUUAACUUGGAGGAGAAGAUCGAUCGUACAGAUAUAUAUAUUGUUUGCAAAGACCCAAGCAUCCUCAGUCAAGAGACGCUGAAUUAAUGAAGCGUUGGACCGUCCUUGCAACUGCUUAUGUCUGAACGAACAUGAACAUCUUUUCUUUGGUCAAAGAUAUAGAAAGUGAACUUUGGACAAAUUCAAUAGUUAACAGAUCUGGAAUUCCGAAUGAUUAAGGCCUUGUUUAGUUUGUGAUGGGGAAAAUUUCGCGACACUUUAGCACUUUCGUUUGUUUGUGGUAAUUAUUGUCCAACCAUGGACUAACUAGGCUCAAAAGAUUGGUCUCGUAAAUUUCGACCAAACUGUGCAAUUAGUUUUUAUUUUCGUUUAUAAUUAAUACUCCAUCCAUGCGUCUAAAGAUUCGACGUGACGGAAAAUCUUGAAAAAUUUUAGGUUUUUGAUGGAAGUAAACAAGGCCUAAUGGCCAGCGAACUGAGUGAGUUUUCUUAUGGUGGAAUCUUUUUAUCUAGGUUAAUUAAGUCCUCAAUAUAUUGUUAUUCAGAUCAACGGUCCACAGUUAUUUGAGUGUACCAUAAUAAAGUCUAUUAGUUCUAUGUACAAAUCAUCGUCUUAUAUACAUAAAAUAAAAUAAAAUAAAAUAAAAUAAAAUAAAAUAAAAUAAAAUAAAAUAAAAUAAAAUAAAAUAUGGCUACACAAACGUGCGUCCCAUCCCAAUACUAUGCAUGUGUGUGUCUAUGCACAUGUUAUAAAAUACUAUUCAGGUCAUGUUAGAAAAGUUAGAUCAUGCAUGCAUAUUAUAUCUAAUAGAAAGAUAUUUUUCUUAUAUAAUUAUUACCUCUUACGAGGUAAUAUGUGAUAAUUGUUAUUUAGAUCGACGGUCCACAGUUAUUUGAGUGUACCAUAGUAAAGUCCAUAUAUAAAUAUAACAUGUGCUUGAAUUUAUCUCACUAUCUAACAACACUAUUUUUUUUGAAUUGUACGUAGGAGAUGAGUCCGUCCAUAGAGUCUAUCUUUGAUAAUUUCAUUUCAAGGCCGACUAAAUUAAAUCGAUCUUUCAAAUAUCUUUAUAGAGAUAGAGUGUGAAUAUGUUUAUAGAGAUAGAGAGUGUGUAUGUCAGUUUAUACAAGGAUAAAGUGCAUGCCUGCGUGUUUGUAAGCUCCUAAACUAUAAGCUUGCACUUCAUUUGAGAAUGGAUAGGCCUGCAUUUUGUCUGGUAGACGAUCGACUGGGACAGGAAAGAUUAUUGAAGGUUGAGGCUGAUUGGUGUCGAAAAAGGAAUGCAUGCAACCGGAUUUAUCCAUGAACCCAUAAAUAGAUUAAUUUUGCAGAUUAUAUAUAUGGGAGUAAUUCGUAAAAAAAUAAAUCUAUUUGUAGAUCCGCAGGAAACGCGGCCGCGGGCGUCAUCGCCUUGCGUUGGACGGAUUACCUCAUCAGCGCGUGGCGGCCGAAGGCUAAUUAAUUAUUUGGUACUGAUAACACCCUCCUAAUGAUGAAGCUUUGCGGCAUCAAGUGUGUGAACACUGAACAGGGCCUGCCGUUGGCAAUUGGCAUGCAUGAUUCACAAAGUACGAGCUCUUUUUUAGAAUUAAAAAAAGGUACGGGUUCUUCUUCUUUUUUUUUUUUGAGAUUGACAAAGUACGAGUUCUAAGCUCUAUUCUAUCACAGAUUUUGUAGGGGCUCCUCUUGACGUUGACGAGGCAGCAUAUAGAGUAUAUAAUUCAUGACGGUCAGACAGCAGGGGCGGAAGAUGGUCGGAAGCCAUGUUUUCUUCUUUCUUAUAGAUAGUAGUAUCAAAUUUAGAACUAUUGACGUUCGCAAAAAAAAAAAAAAUUUAGAACUAUUGAAAUCUCAUAAACCGUUGGAGCCUGUAAUUUAGGACAGAGAAACUAGUACUCCCUCCCAUCCUCUAUAUCUGGCGUGGGCGUCCAGAGAACAAGACGAGUAUUGGCACCGUCCCUAAGAUUUCCCUUCAUAUUUUUCUCAACUGAAGUCUUGUUUAGUUUCCAAAAUUUUUUCAAGAUUUCCCGUCACAUCAAAUCUUAUGGUACAUAUAUGAAGCAUUAAAUAUAGAUAAAAAGGAUAACUAAUUGCGUAGUUUAUCUGUAAUUUGCGAGACGAAUCUUUUGAGUCUAGUUAGUCUAUGAUUGGACAAUAAUUAUCAAAUAAAAAUGAAAGUGCUAACCAAACAAGGCCUAAAAAGGAGCGUUGGCGCUAUCUUCUCGCUCAAGCAGAUGAAAACCAAAACGAAAUCUGGACGCCAAGUGAAAUUUUAAACAAGUUGAAGCUGUAUCGUUCUGAACCUGCUCUAUCAAUAGCCAUGCGUAGGAAACAACACUCUUCAUCUUCUCCACACUAUUCCUACUAGCAUGAGCAUCAUCUACCACGGCCGAACCACCUCAAGGAAUUGGCAUUGACAUCAAUGAGCCGG